GCAGGAAACCAGAUCUUAACUGAUGCCGGUGGAAACAGGGAAGAGGCUAAUAAGAAGGAGCAAAAUUUCACUGAAAGUUUGAAAGGACUUGUAGACUAUCAGGCUAAGAGGUAUGAAUAAAUCCAAGAUGCCCUCUGGCCAUGCUGUCAGAGGAUGCUCCACAGCAACCUGGAUGCUCGCAACCAGAGGCAACCUGCACUGAAGUUCUUGCACAGACCACACCGGGUCCCUGAAGAGAUAAAUAUUUCGUCGGACAGUUGUAAUCCAUUUCCGACUCAUUAAUAUGCCAAUGCACAAAGGCCCACCCACAGCAAAGCUCUGUAAUGCAAUUUUUCGCUUUGUUCCCUGUGUCUCUGCUAUGAGACGUCUUGAGAUAGUCACCACUGCCCAAGCAAAGACAUAUUCUGUGGAAUGGCAUUCACUAGAAUUGUGCAGAUCAGCUUCUACCAUGCCCUGGCAGGGGAUUACACAGGACGAUGGUGGGCAAAAGUUACUGACUGUAGGAAAAUAUAAAAUUUGAGUAAAAAGUAUCUCAAAUAUCUCCUGUAUCUUCUGCCAGAGAAUACUGUUUGGUGUUAGGUUUUUUUGUUUUGUUUUGUUUCGUUUUUUUAAGGUCUUAAGUUAAUCCUUUAGCAAAUGAGUGUCUUGUGAUCCCUUUGUAUUAGGUAGGAAUUUUGGGUCACAGAAGUGGACUUUGGCUAAAUUAAUGAAAGAAUGAGAG